rnacentral:rRNA from 1 species
UACGAAGGGGGCUAGCGUUGUUCGGAUUUACUGGGCGUAAAGCGCACGUAGGCGGAUUGUUAAGUCAGGGGUGAAAUCCUGGAGCUCAACUCCAGAACUGCCUUUGAUACUGGCAAUCUAGAGUCCGGAAGAGGUGAGUGGAACUCCUAGUGUAGAGGUGGAAUUCGUAGAUAUUAGGAAGAACACCAGUGGCGAAGGCGGCUCGCUGGGACGGUAUUGACGCUGAGACGCGAAAGCGUGGGGAGCAAACAGG